UUGGCUAAUGUGUCUUGGCUAAGGUGUCUUGGCUAAUGUGUCUUGGCUAAUGUGUCUUGACUAAUGUGUCUAGGCUAAUGUGUCUUGGCUAAUGUGUCUCGGCUAAUGUGUCUUGGCUAAGGUGUCUCGGCUAAGGUGUCUUGGCUACAGUGUCUUGGCUAAGGUGUCUUGGCUAAUGUGUCUUGGCUAAGGUGUCUUGGCUAAGGUGUCUUGGUUAAGGUGUCUUGGCUAAGGUGUCUUGGCUAAGGUGUCUAAGCUAAGGUGUCUUGGCUAAUGUGUCUUGGCUAAUGUGUCUUGGCUAAUGUGUCUUGGCUACGGUGUCUUGGCUAAGGUGUCUUGGCUAAUGUGUUUUUUCUUAUGUGUCUUGGCUAAUGUGUCUUGGCUAAUGUGUCUUGGCUAAGGUGUCUUGGCUAAGGUGUCUUGGCUAAUAUGUCUUGGCUAAUGUGUCUUGGCU